GCAGGUGAUUAUAAGGUUAAGAAGAUCACAGGAUACCUUUGUAUAACUGCUGACUCCGUUGUCCUUGUUCUAGGGCAAGUUCCAGCUUCUCUGGGUUAAGAACUUCUUCAAGAACCAAGGAGAAACAACAUCCCGGCAUCUCCUGAUUUACAUCUUGCCACUUGACCCAUAUGGCUCUGGGAGAGAAAGUGAGGUGGGACUUUGCAUGGUCUGCCUCACUCAAAUCCAAUUCACUUGCAAGUCAUGUCACCUUCCUUGAAUAGCAAGUUCCAAGAAUUAUGGAUUCCCUGAACCGUGUUGGCUCUGCCACUAGGAGGAUCAUCUAGGAUUCAUCACUAUGGCUGGCAUUGUCAAACUGACAUCCUAGAAAUGUUGAUGUUCCCAUUCCUGGAUGGGUUCUUGGGCUUGUUCUAUGGGCCUUAGGAAAGCCCAGAUAGUUACAUGGAGAGAACCCAAGCUACACAAAGAUCUGGAACAACACAGAAGAUCACAUGCAUUUAAGGGACCCAGAAAGAGAAAGAGAGUUGGAAAAUGGUGAGAGCUAACUAAAGACAAGGCAUUUGGAACCUUUAUGAAAGAGAAAAUAAAGGGACUUAAGUAAGACAUGUUUUCUUCUCCGAGCCAAAAAAAAAAAAAAAUCAAUUCCUAAUUCUUUUUGAUUAUUCUCAUAUGGCAUGGCCUUCAGGACCCUCUGGUUAGCCUUCUCUGGGCCAGCUCCAGGUUUUCAGCAUCCUUUGAAAAUAUGGUCCUUGGAACUGAAUGUGGUCCCCCAGAUGUAGUUUUGUACCCACUACAGAAAGUUAAAGAGUCAUAGGAGGUACCCAGAAAAGGAGGGUAGCACUAUUCUAGGAAAUUUUUUUUCCUCCUGUACUUUUAACCAGUGGAAUUAAGAAAAUGACACAUGUGAACUCUGAGCUGGAUCUUGUUGUUUUCAAGAUAUGAUGUUUACUUAAGGUUUGAAUUUCACAUAAACCGAU